GAUGAACGCUGGCGGCGUGCCUAAUACAUGCAAGUCGAGCGAACAGACGAGGAGCUUGCUCCUCUGACGUUAGCGGCGGACGGGUGAGUAACACGUGGAUAACCUACCUAUAAGACUGGGAUAACUUCGGGAAACCGGAGCUAAUACCGGAUAAUAUAUUGAACCGCAUGGUUCAAUAGUGAAAGACGGUUUUGCUGUCACUUAUAGAUGGAUCCGCGCCGCAUUAGCUAGUUGGUAAGGUAACGGCUUACCAAGGCAACGAUGCGUAGCCGACCUGAGAGGGUGAUCGGCCACACUGGAACUGAAACACGGUCCAGACUCCUACGGGAGGCAGCAGUAGGGAAUCUUCCGCAAUGGGCGAAAGCCUGACGGAGCAACGCCGCGUGAGUGAUGAAGGUCUUUGGAUCGUAAAACUCUGUUAUUAGGGAAGAACAAAUGUGUAAGUAACUAUGCACGUCUUGACGGUACCUAAUCAGAAAGCCACGGCUAACUACGUG
rnacentral:rRNA from 1 species